rnacentral:rRNA from 2 species
CAUCCAAGGAAGGCAGCAGGCGCGCAAAUUACCCACUCCCGGCACGGGGAGGUAGUGACGAAAAAUAACGAUACGGGACUCAUCCGAGGCCCCGUAAUCGGAAUGAGUACACUUUAAAUCCUUUAACGAGGAUCAAUUGGAGGGCAAGUCUGGUGCCAGCAGCCGCGGUAAUUCCAGCUCCAAUAGCGUAUAUUAAAGUUGUUGCGGUUAAAAAGCUCGUAGUUGAAUCUGUGUGUCACGCUGUCGGUUCACCGCUCGCCGGUGUUUAACUGAUACGCUCGUGACACGUCCUACCGGUGGGCCCGUCUUUGUGCCGCUUGUCGGUGCUUAGCUCGGGUCCUACUUUAAUCCCACAGCGGUGCUCUUUACCGAGUGUCGAGGUGGGCCGGUACGUUUACUUUGAACAAAUUAGAGUGCUUAAAGCAGACAAUUAUCGUCUGAAUACUGUGUGCAUGGAAUAAUGGAAUAGGACCUCGGUUCUAUUUUGUUGGUUUUCGGAACUCCGAGGUAAUGAUUAAUAGGGACAGAUGGGGGCAUUCGUAUUGCGACGUUAGAGGUGAAAUUCUUGGAUCGUCGCAAGACGAACAGAAGCGAAAGCAUUUGCCAAAAAUGUUUUCAUUAAUCAAGAACGAAAGUUAGAGGUUCGAAGGCGAUCAGAUACCGCCCUAGUUCUAACCAUAAACGAUGCCAGCUAGCGAUCCGCCGAAGUUCCUCCGAUGACUCGGCGGGCAGCUUCCGGGAAACCAAAGCUUUUGGGUUCCGGGGGAAGUAUGGUUGCAAAGCUGAAACUUAAAGGAAUUGACGGAAGGGCACCACCAGGAGUGGAGCCUGCGGCUUAAUUUGACUCAACACGGGAAACCUCACCAGGCCCGGACACCGGAAGGAUUGACAGAUUGAUAGCUCUUUCUUGAUUCGGUGGGUGGUGGUGCAUGG